rnacentral:rRNA from 1 species
CGCACUGGCCCAACUGAUUGAUGGUGCUUGCACCUGAUUGACGAUGGAUCACCAGUGAGUGGCGGACGGGUGAGUAACACGUAGGUAACCUGCCCCGGAGCGGGGGAUAACAUUUGGAAACAGAUGCUAAUACCGCAUAACAACAAAAGCCACAUGGCUUUUGUUUGAAAGAUGGCUUUGGCUAUCACUCUGGGAUGGACCUGCGGUGCAUUAGCUAGUUGGUAAGGUAACGGCUUACCAAGGCGAUGAUGCAUAGCCGAGUUGAGAGACUGAUCGGCCACAAUGGAACUGAGACACGGUCCAUACUCCUACGGGAGGCAGCAGUAGGGAAUCUUCCACAAUGGGCGCAAGCCUGAUGGAGCAACACCGCGUGAGUGAAGAAGGGUUUCGGCUCGUAAAGCUCUGUUGUUGGAGAAGAACGUGCGUGAGAGUAACUGUUCACGCAGUGACGGUAUCCAACCAGAAAGUCACGGCUAACUACGUG